rnacentral:tRNA from 1 species
UUGAUUGAGAAAGACAUAAUGGUUAUGGUAUCGGCUUGAGACCAGUCUAAGGAGGUUCGAUUCCUUCCUUUCUUA